GGAUCAUGGCUGUUUUACAAGACUUUAGACAAAAUGAAGCCAUACCACCAAGAAUGUUCACCUGUUCUCAUAGGAGCUUGUGGUUAAAGAGAAUGAGAAGACGUCCAUGCCACAUCAGUUGAUCCAGAUGAGGUCUUCCACCCUAAUUUGAGAUUCAGAAUGAUGAAGACUUGCAAGCACUUAUGCAUAAAUUGGAUGAAGAAGGAAGGUUGAGACUUUUUCGAUUACUUGGAUGCAGUAACUUACCAGUUCCAGGUCAGGCUCCAUGGACUCUCCACUCAUACUGCAGGUAGCUCGGAGAUGGUCAUAAAAUAAUCCCCAGUGAGAUGGACUCCCAUUUAAGUGAUCUUUGAUCUCUUUCAAGUUAUUCCUACAAAUGGUUACUAUUCCCAUUCUUUCAGGAUUGAUGGGCUUCUAAUUUGGAGGAACCCGGCCAGUCUGUAGAAAUUUUAAAGACAAUAGAAAAAAAGACAACCAUUCUGUGGUGCUCGUUCCUACUCCAGGCUUUAAAGAAAGAAGGAAUCUGGCCAAGCGGACUAAACAUGGGGUUAGAUCACCUCAAAUAUGACAUUUUCUAGGAUUUCCUGGGCUAAAUGGGUGUAGCUCUUGCUUUUCCUUCCAAAAGUAUUGCAGGAAAUAGGUCUUUGCCACAUCCAGAUACUGUGUACAGCUGGUAACAAUUUGGGUGUCCACCCCCAAAGUGGCAGUGUGUUUUCUAUAUUCUCAGAGAUUGGCAUAAAUCAAGCAUGGGUUCUUUGGUAUCCAGAUUGAUUUGCUAAUGUUCCACAUUUAACAUGACAUGGCACAAAUAACACUGCAGCUAUCAAGAAAGCUAGAAGACUAGUGAAACACAGAGUGCCCAGGACAGCAUCAUUAUUUCAUAUUUAUAUAGGUGAGCAUUGGGAUCUGUAUGACAAAAAUCCAGUUUGGAUCUCUAAGGAUGGAGUGCAUUUCUCUAUUUGUAGCUUGGACAAAUUUAAUCUUGAGCUUGCUAUGUUUUUACAAAGUUUUU